AUCUGGCUUCCAACAAGAACAAAACUCCUCCUUGUAUGUGUUCACUCACAAACUCUGUAAAAUAGUAUCGAAGUUUGCACUCAAUGAGAAACUCGCAGUUGUUGUGGCUUCUCUUGUCACUCAUAUGCACCAAUUUCAUCAGAAUCUAUUUGGUAUCGGCUUCUAGUCCAUGUCUCGGCGAUCAAGAAUCGUUGCUGGUCGAGUUGAAAAAUAGCCUUGUCUUUGACGCAUCCGUGUCUUCCAAGCUGGUUACGUGGAAUCAGAACGCUCGCCCUUGGAAUGGUGUGAUGUGCGACGAGGAUGGUAAGGUCAUUGGUCUAGACUUGAGCUUCGAAUCAAUCUCUUGCAGUAUCAACAGUUCGUCGAGUCUAUUUUGACUAAAGCAUCUUCAAAAGCUAAACUUGGCUUUCAACAACGUCAAAUCCUCUGCAAUUCCGUCUGGCUUCGCAAAUCUUAGUGGCCUGGUUUAUCUGAACUUGUCCAAUGCUGGAUUCUCUGGGCAAAUUCCGAUAGAGUUAGCGCGCUUGAGGAAGUUAAGCAUUCUUGAUCUUUCUCUUCUUUAUUUUCCUGGACUUGAUACACUAAAGCUCAAGAAUCCCAAUUUGAAGACCUUGAUAGGAAACCUGACGGAGCUAAUACAAUUACAUCUCGAUGGUGUAGACCUGUCUUCCGAGGGAAAUGAGUGGUGCAAUGCAUUGUCCUCUUCAGUGCAAAAACUUGAGGUGCUCAGCAUGUCUAAUUGCUUUCUCUCUGGUCCUGUUGACUCUUCCCUCGUGAAUCUUCAUCAUUUGUCAGUCAUUCAACUCAAUGGCAACAACCUCUCAACCACAGUUCCCGAGUUAUUUGCCAGAUUCCCCAAUCUAACUGCUCUGCAUAUGAGUUAUUGUGGGUUGUAUGGAGAGUUUUCUCGUAAAAUCUUUCAGCUGCAGACACUUCAGACGCUUGACCUAUCAUACAACCAACUUCUUCAAGUUCCUUUGCCCCAUUUUCCAGAGGAUAGUUCUCUUGAGACUCUGAUCCUGAGUUACACGAAUAUUUCAGGGAGGCUUCCAGAUUCAAUCGGCAAUCUUAGAAAAUUGUCGAGCUUAGAAUUGUUUAGUUGCAGUUUGAGUGGAUCAAUCCCAAGCUCCAUAGAGAACCUGUCAGAGCUGACUUAUUUGGACAUGUCUUUAAAUAAUCUUACUAGUUCAGUUCCUUCAUUCAGUAUGUCCAAGCAUCUGAGACAGAUCAUGCUAUCCCACAAUGCUCUAUCUGGAGAGAUUAAGUCCACCCGAUGGGAAGAACUUAUGAGCCUUGUAAAACUAGAUUUGCGGUACAACUCAUUGGACGGAACCAUUCCCCCGUCUCUCUUUACGCUUCCUUCAAUUAAGGCAAUAGAAAUUUCCAACAAUCAGUUUUCUGGUGAGCUGAGUGGGUCUCUAAAUGCCACUUGCUGUCAACUAAACGUGUAUGAUCUGAGCAGCAACAAUUUAGAGGGACCAAUACCAGCGUAUGUUUUUGAACUUCGAGGGCUUACCCACCUCUCACUUUCUUCUAAUAAUUUCAGUGGCUCAUUGCACAUUGAUGUGUUUCAGCGGCUCAAGAACCUCACAUAUCUCGAUCUUUCCCACAACCGUUUGUCUAUUAAUGCUACUGCUUCCACUUCAGCUUUGUUCGGUUUCCCUGCUCUCUCCACUUUAAAGCUGGCUUCCUGUCAGCUGAGUUCAGUACCUGAAUUCUUGGAAAAUCUAGCCAUAUUAGCCUAUCUAGACCUCUCCGACAAUCAAAUUCAAGGAGAGAUACCAAAAUGGAUGUGGGAGAGUGCAUAUAUUUCUUAUCUCAAUCUUUCCUUCAAUUUCUUCGAGAAACUAGGAGAACCUUUACCUAAUCUCUCUUCUAAUCUGACUGUUAUUGACCUCCACAGAAACAAGGUCCAGGGGAAAACGUUACCUCUGCCACCAUAUGGUGUCUACCUGGAUUUCUCGAGUAACAAUUUCAGUUCAGUUCUUCAAAAUGAUAUAGGUAAACACCUAGGUUCCACAAUUUUCUUCUCUCUCGCAAACAAUCAUUUCCAUGGCCCUUUCCCAGAAUCAAUCUGCCAAGCCCAGGACCUCGCUGUCCUUGACGUUUCCAACAACCAUUUGAUGGGAACCAUCCCUCAGUGCUUAAUGUUGGAGAAUCUAAAGGUGUUGAACAUAAGGAAUAACAACCUGACUGGAGGAAUUCCGCAUACAUUCCCAGGUACAUGCCUCUUGAGGACUUCGGAUGUUAAUGGUAAUCUCUUGACAGGAAAGCUCCCUAUUUCGUUGGCAAAAUGCUCCAUGUUAGAGGUGCUAGACAUUGGAAACAAUUGGAUUAAGGAUGUAUUCCCGUGCCCAUUGGAGAACAUAUCUACACUGAGAGUCCUCGUGCUGCAUUCCAACAAAUUCCACGGGCAAAUUGGUUGUCCAGUCACUAAUGGCACAUGGAAGAUGCUUCAAAUUGUUGACCUAGCUUUCAACGAUUUCAGUGGUAUGCUACCUGAAGAUUUCCUGAAGUCUUGGGAGGCCAUGAAGGGCCUAUUCCCCCGUCAUUAGGAAAAGUACAGCAGCUCGAGUCCCUAGACUUGUCACAGAACUACCUCAAUGGGACAAUACCGGUAACAACGGACUAUGCGGGUUUCCACUUGACAAUUGCUCAAUCACCACCGAUCCUGAAGAAGCUGAUGCUGUUCCAACUCAAAGGUCUGAACGUCGUGAGGACAAUGGCUGGAUUGGCAUGAAGUCGUUUUACA